GGAGCCUUGGCUUAGUGGUGGAAAACAUCUGCUUUGCAUACAGAGGGUCUUAGGUUCAAUCCCCAGCAUCUCCA